GGUCAAGUUUUUAAGGGCAUACGGUGGAUGCCUUGGCACCAGGAACCGAUGAAGGACGUGGGAAUCUGCGAUAAGCCUCGGGGAGUUGAUAACCGGACUGUGAUCCGAGGAUGUCCGAAUGGGGUAACCCGGCUGGAGGCAAGUCCAGUCACCUGCACCUGAAUGUAUAGGGUGUGUGGAGGGAACGCGGGGAAGUGAAACAUCUCAGUACCCGCAGGAAGAGAAAACAAGAGUGAUUCCGUGAGUAGUGGCGAGCGAAAGCGGAUGAGGCUAAACCAGGCGUGUGUGAUACCUGUCAGGGGUUGCAUGUUUGGGGUUGUGGGAGUUUUCUUUGUCGAUGCUGACACGUCGGCGCGCAGUGAGAAAUCCAUGCUGUAGGCGAACGGUCUUGAAGGGCCGGCCAGAGACGGUGGUAGCCCGGUAGCUGAAAUGGUGUGGACUGCGUGGGGAAUUUCCCGAGUAGCACGGGGCUCGAGGAAUCUCGUGUGAAUCUGGCGGGACCACCCGCUAAGCCUAAAUAUUACCUGGUGACCGAUAGCGGACGAGUACCGUGAGGGAAAGGUGAAAAGUACCCCGGGAGGGGAGUGAAAUAGUUCCUGAAACCGUGUGCCUACAAUCCGUCGGAGCCUCUUUGUGGGGUGACGGCGUGCCUUUUGAAGAAUGAGCCUGCGAGUUAGUGCUUCGUGGCGAGGUUAACCCGGGUGGGGUAGCCGUAGCGAAAGCGAGUCUGAAUAGGGCGUUUGAGUCGCGGGGUCUAGACCCGAAGCGGAGUGAUCUACCCAUGGCCAGGUUGAAGCGCCGGUAAGACGGCGUGGAGGACCGAACCCACUUAGGUUGAAAACUGAGGGGAUGAGCUGUGGGUAGGGGUGAAAGGCCAAUCAAACUCCGUGAUAGCUGGUUCUCCCGAAAUGCAUUUAGGUGCAGCGUUGCGUGUUUCUUGCCGGAGGUAGAGCUACUGGAUGGCUGAUGGGCCUUACCGGGUUACUGACGUCAGCCAAACUCCGAAUGCCGGUAAGUGUAAGCGUGGCAGUGAGACUGCGGGGGAUAAGCUCCGUAGUCGAGAGGGAAACAGCCCAGAUCACCAGCUAAGGUCCCUAAGCGUGUGCUAAGUGGAAAAGGAUGUGGAGUUGCGAUGACAACCAGGAGGUUGGCUUAGAAGCAGCCACCCUUGAAAGAGUGCGUAAUAGCUCACUGGUCAAGUGAUUCCGCGCCGACAAUGUAGCGGGGCUCAAGCACACCACCGAAGCUGUGGCAGUGACAUAUUUCCCGAGCCUUCGUGGUUCAGGGGUGUUGCUGGGUAGGGGAGCGUCGUGUGGCGGGUGAAGCGCCGGAGUGAUCCAGGUGUGGACGCUACACGAGUGAGAAUGCAGGCAUGAGUAGCGAAUGGCGAGUGAGAAACUCGCCCGCCGAAUGACCAAGGGUUCCAGGGUCAAGUUAAUCUGCCCUGGGUAAGUCGGGACCUAAGGCGAGGCCGACAGGCGUAGUCGAUGGACAACGGGUUGAUAUUCCCGUACCGGCGAAGAACCGCCCAUAUCGAGGCCAGGGAUGCUAAGCACCUGAAGCUUGCUUUAACCCCGCUUUCGGGUGGGGAGGGCAAGGGGAGCGUGUGACCCGAUCUGGUAGUAGGUAAGCGAUGGAGUGACGCAGGAAGGUAGCCUCCGCGUGGCGAUGGUUGUCCACGUCCAAGCAGGUAGGACGAGGCCUAGGCAAAUCCGGGUCUCAUAGUGUCUGAGAUGUGAUGGUGACACCGUUUGGUGGAAGUAGGGUGAUCCUAUGCUGCCGAGAAAAACUUCUAGCGAGGUUUGAGCCGCCCGUACCCUAAACCGACUCAGGUGGUCAGGUAGAGAAUACUAAGGCGAUCGAGUGAAUCGUGGUUAAGGAAUUCGGCAAAAUGCCCCCGUAACUUCGGGAGAAGGGGGGCCUUACCCUUGAAGCAGCUUCGCCUGCUAGGGGGGAGGGCCGCAGAGACCAGGGAGAAGCGACUGUUUACUAAAAACACAGGUCCGUGCGAACACGUAAGUGGAGGUAUACGGACUGACGCCUGCCCGGUGCUGGAACGUUAAGGGGACUGGUUAGUGCCCUUUGGGUGCGAAGCUGAGAACUUAAGCGCCAGUAAACGGCGGUGGUAACUAUAACCAUCCUAAGGUAGCGAAAUUCCUUGUCGGGUAAGUUCCGACCUGCACGAAUGGCGUAACGAUUUCUCCACUGUCUCAACCGCGAACUCGGCGAAAUUGCAUUACGAGUAAAGAUGCUCGUUACGCGCAGAAGGACGGAAAGACCCCGGGACCUUUACUAUAGCUUGGUAUUGGUGUUCGGUACGGCUUGUGUAGGAUAGGUGGGAGACUGUGAAUCUCAUGCGCCAGCAUGGGUGGAGUCAACGUUGAAAUACCACUCUGGUUGUACUGGAUGUCUAACUUCGGACCAUGAUCUGGUUCAGGGACAGUGCCUGGUGGGUAGUUUAACUGGGGCGGUUGCCUCCCAAAAGGUAACGGAGGCGCCCAAAGGUUCCCUCAGCCUGGUUGGCAAUCAGGUGUUGAGUGUAAGUGCACAAGGGAGCUUGACUGUGAGACAGACAUGUCGAGCAGGGACGAAAGUCGGGACUAGUGAUCCGGCCAUGGCUUGUGGAAGCGUGGUCGCUCAACGGAUAAAAGGUACCCCGGGGAUAACAGGCUGAUCUUGCCCAAGAGUCCAUAUCGACGGCAUGGUUUGGCACCUCGAUGUCGGCUCGUCGCAUCCUGGGGCUGGAGUAGGUCCCAAGGGUUGGGCUGUUCGCCCAUUAAAGCGGUACGCGAGCUGGGUUUAGAACGUCGUGAGACAGUUCGGUCCCUAUCCUCUGUGCGCGUUGGAAACUUGAGAAGGGCUGUCCCUAGUACGAGAGGACCGGGAUGGACGAACCUCUGGUGUGUCAGUUGUUCUGCCAAGGGCACCGCUGAUUAGCUACGUUCGGAAGUGAUAACCGCUGAAAGCAUCUAAGCGGGAAGCACGCUUCAAGAUGAGGUUUCCGUGACACUUCGAGUGUUGAGAGGCUCCCAGCUAGACGACUGGGUUGAUAGGCCAGAUGUGGAAGCACAGUAAUGUGUGGAGCUGACUGGUACUAAUAGGCCGAUGACUUGACUAA
rnacentral:rRNA from 1 species